CAACAAUGUGUGGCUCCUUACCACAAUCAAUCAGUAUGGCAAAUAUCAUUUUUGCUCAGAGGGCAUUUUUGCAGAGAGAAGCUAGUGUGGAAGGACUGUCUUCCAUUUUGGAAGAUGAAUAAUUUUCAGAAUAUGACGAUCAUGUCUCUGUCAAUUCGGAGUCUGACAGUGAGUUUGAAGAAGAGGAUGAGAUUGACCCUCAGCCAGCCCCAGGACCAGCCCGUCAGCAACCAGCUCAUCAGCAGCCAGCCCCAGGACCAGCCUGUCAGCAACCAGCUCAUCAGCAGCCUGCAGGAGGAGAAAUAUGGAUGUCAAAAAAUUGUGAAAUUGAAUGAUCUUCUUGCCCAAGGAAUGAGCCACCCCGCAUGGCUGCCAAUGUGAUAAGGAUGCAACCAGGGCCGACGCGGAUGGCGGUUACUCAUGUGCAGGACAUAAAGUCAUCUUUUGAACUGUUCAUCCCAGACACCGUCCUGAAAAUCAUUCUGAACUGCACUAAUUUGGAGGGAAGGUGUGUUUUUGGAGAGAGAUGGAAGGAGAUGGACAAAACUAAUUUACUUGCAUACUUUGGUGUUCUUAUCCUUGCUGGUGUUUUCAGAUCCAACGGGGAAUCCACAGAAUCCCGGUGAGAUGAAAAAAAUGGCAGAGAAAUUUUCCGUGCAACAUUGUCUCUGGAAAACAUCCACAUUAUUUGCAGGAUUAUCCGCUUUGAUAAAUGAGACACCAGACCAGCUCGGCGGCAGAGAGAAAGUGUGGUCAGGUCAGUGUCGGACAAGUGGGUGGACCGCAUUCCCCUGUUUUACAACCCUGGGCCCAGCGUUACUGUUGAUGAGCAGCUUAUGCCAUUUAGGGGCCCGCUGCCCCUUCAGGCAGUUCUAAACCCGCAAAAUAUAGAAUCAAGAUCUGGGCUGCCUGUGAUGGUGCUUCAUCAUAUGUCUGGAACUUGCAAGUGUAUACAGAGAAGCCAGAUGGAGGAGCCCCUGAGAAGAACCAGGGGAUGCAGGUUGUCCUGGAUGUGACACAGGGACUCCGUGGCCACAACGUCACAUGCGAUAACUUUUUUUACUUUGCACACGCUGGGACAGGAGCUCCUACUAGAGGAUGCUGAAGAUGGUAGGAACAGAACAAAAAAACAAGCCAGAGCUCCCACUUCAAUUCUGUGGCCAGGAACAUCAAAAACCAGAAAUCAUAAUGGAUUACAAUGCCACAAAAAGAGGGGUGGACAAUUUAGACAAGCUGGUGAUUGGCUACAGCUGCUAAAGAAGAACCCUACGCUGGCCACUUGUGAUAUUCUCCAACAUCUUGGACAUCUCGACGUACAAUGCGUUUGUCAUCUGUAUGGCGUUGAACCCAGAUUGGAACAGAGGGAAGCUCCAGAGGAGAUGGAUCUUUCUUGAGGAGCUGGGCAAGGCAUUGGUAAGACCUCAUAUCUAGAGGAGGCAACAUAUCCCAAGGACCCCAGCUUCUGCAGCCAUUGUUUCGGAGGAUUCAGGAGGAGGAUGCUGGUGCCCCAACCAACAACUCCAAUACCGGAAGACCUGAGCCCUAGGACCAUGUCUCAGGACUACCUGGUAUGAUGACUCCUUGCUGUCCCCAGUCCACCUGGCCGUGCUGCUGCUCCAGUUUCAACUGUUCUGCCUGCGGCUAUGGAACCCUGACCUGUUCACCGGACGUGCUUGUUGCACCCUCGACAACUACUAUGAUUAUUAUUAUUUGACCAUGCUGGUCAUUUAUGAACAUUUUAACAUCUUGACCAUGUUCUGUUAUAAUAUCCACCCUGCACAGCCAGAAGAGGACUGGCCACCCCUCAUAGCCUGGUUCCUCUCUAGGUUUCUUCCUAGGUUUUUGGCCUUUCUAGGGAGUUUUUCCUAGGGAGUUUUUCCUAGCCACCGUGCUUCUUUCACAUGCAUUGCUUGCUGUUUGGGGUUUUAGGCUGGGUUUCUGUACAGCACUUUGAGAUAUCAGCUGAUGUACGAAGGGCUAUAUAAAUACAUUUGAUUUGACAUACCCUCCUGUAUAUCCCCACAUUCCCUCCUGUAUAUUCCCACAUUUCACCCUGUAUAUCCCCACGCCCCCCUGUAUAUCCCCACCACCCUCCCUGUAUAUCGCCACAUCCCUCCUGUAUAUCCCCACAUUUCACCCUGUAUAUCCCCACAUCUCUCCUGUAUAUCCCCACAUUUCACCCUGUAUACCCCCACAUCCCUCCUGUAUAUCCCCACAUUUCACCCUGUAUAUCCCCACAUCCCUCCUGUAUAUCCCCACAUUUCACCCUGUAUAUCCCCACAUCCCUCCCUGUAUAUACCCACAUCCCCCCAGUAUACCCCCACAUUCCUCCCUGUAUACCCCCACAUCCCUCCCAGUAUAUCCCCACAUCCCUCCCUGUAUAUCCCCACAUCCCUCCCUGUAUAUCCCCACAUCCCCCCUGUAUAUCCCCACAUCCCUCCCUGUUGUCAUGACGUUGGCCUGUGGGUAAGGUUUAUGACCCCCCCCCCCCAUAAAUACCUUUCUCCCUUCCCCUCUCUUACUGACCCUACUGAAGGACUGCUGUCCUGUUAAAUAUAGAGAGUCUGGGAACAUCAAACAAAUGGGGAAAGGAACCAUAUUUUGGUAAUAAAACCAGUUGGAAAUAUGCUUGAUAACGUAAUGAGUAUGUAUGUCAGUUCGCUUGUCAUCUGAGACAUUAUGACUGAUGACAGGACGACAUAAACUGUAUCUGAGAAAGUAUACACCCUCUAGUUAUCAGAGUCACAUGGAAUUGUUAUGCAAUUGAAAUGUUUGAUAUUGAAAUUGUUUGUUAGGAGAUUAAAUGUAAUUUUAGCUUCCAAAUGAGAGAAUUGGGUUUUCAUAAGGAAAGUGCCCUGCUUGAUCAGUGGCCCAACCCUAUGAAGAGACAGGGGUUAUAAACGAUGAAACACCUCCCUCCCCCUCUCCACUAUAUAAGCCUUUGACGAAAAGAUAACCAGGUGGUUCCAGUACGUGAGGUCUGCAGCCUCUACGUUAGAAGGACACACAUGUCAAAGACAGAACUAAGCCAACCUCGGCGUGAGCUUUGGUGGCGAAUGGUAUGAACUUUGAGCUUAUUCACUACAGAAGUGAUACUUCCUAGCCGUUGAGUUAGCAGCGGCCGCUGCUAACGUGGGCUAGGAAAGGACGGACGACGGAUCCAGUCUAACAACCAGACGAAGAUACCACCACGUAUCCAAUUGACCACCAUUGACAUUCUUCCGAAAACAGGGAGAUCUGUUGGCCAACCCGGCCAGCAUCUACGACCAAUCUACCGAAGCGCAGCUCAGAGUAAAUAUUUAUUGCAUUUUCUUUUUCCAAAUGGGCGGUAAUUUAGAAUGCAUAAGAUAAUGUAUUUACGAUAGCAUAGCUGCUGUUUCUGUGUUCCUAAAUCUUCCCGCUCUUUCAUUCAAGCCCAACCCCCUUUCCUUUGUGUAACCAGCUUUCAUACAGGUUCCGUUCACCAGGGGUGAAUUCUGUAUGACAUCAUUGUAUUCUGUGUAUUUGUAAUUCUGUGUGAUUAGUUAG
rnacentral:lncRNA from 1 species